rnacentral:rRNA from 1 species
CGCAGCCGCGGUAAUUCCAGCUCCAAUAGCGUAUAUUAAAGUUGUUGCAGUUAAAAAGCUCGUAGUUGAAUUUCGGGAUUCUACCGUUGGUCGGGCUAACAAGUCUGUACUGGUGUGUAGAAUUUCUACCUUCUGGGAACUAUCAUGUUAUUAAUUUAGCGUGGUGGGAAACCAGGACCUUUACCUUGAAAAAAUUAGAGUGUUCAAAGCAGGCUUAUGUCUGAAUACAUUAGCAUGGAAUAAUAGAAUAGGACGGUGGUCCUGUUUUGUUGGUUUCUGAAUCACCGUAAUGAUUAAUAGGGAUAGUUGGGGGCAUUAGUAUUCAAUUGUCAGAGUGAAAUUCUUGGAUUUAUUGAAGACUAACUUCUGCGAAAGCAUUUGCCAAGGAUGUUUUCAUUAAUCAAGAACGAAAGUUAGGGGAUCGAAGACGAUCAGAUACCGUCGUAGUCUUAACCAUAAACUAUGCCCGUACUAGGGAUCGGACGAUAGUUAAAUUUUAUGUACUCGUUCCGGCGUACCU